CUUAAGGUGGUGGCUGAGAGUCAUUCUUUGCUGGAUUGCUGAACUAUGCUACCUUCCCUGGAUUUUUCCCUCCCUGGAGUGCUUGGAGAGACUACCUGAGCUGAAUGAGUGAGGAGAGUUUGGAUUGCUUGGAUGGCCCUUUUGCCUGGAUCCCUGGAGCCUCUGUUUCCCCCAUCACAACCUGUAUAUAUCACCCUGUUGUUUUCACUGUAAAUAAAUGCGCAAAACUUGA